rnacentral:snoRNA from 1 species
AAUUUGUGAUGAGGGCAUUUGGUUUGAUAACCCUUAGCGCUCUCAAGCUUCACAGAAGCUUUCAUUUUGCUUCUGAAUAAAUCCGGAUAUCUCAUUCCGGAGUCU